rnacentral:rRNA from 1 species
UACGUAGGGGGCGAGCGUUGUCCGGAUUCAUUGGGCGUAAAGAGCUCGUAGGCGGUUCGUCGCGUCGGCUGUGAAAUCCCGAGGCUCAACCUCGGGUCUGCAGUCGAUACGGGCGGACUGGAGUACUGCAGGGGAGACUGGAAUUCCUGGUGUAGCGGUGAAAUGCGCAGAUAUCAGGAGGAACACCGGUGGCGAAGGCGGGUCUCUGGGCAGUUACUGACGCUGAGGAGCGAAAGCGUGGGGAGCGAACAGG